rnacentral:misc_RNA from 1 species
AAAUUUGAGGUGGAGUCAUUCGAUAGAAAAAAUAAUUUGUUUGUGGCAAAGCAUCGUGAAUGAGGCCCUCUAUUUUAUACAAUAAGGAUUAAUUGAAGCAUUGAAUGAAAAGUAAUUGGCUGUAAUAAAAGAUGAUGAUUGGGUAUUUUGUGUGAGUUUGAAUUUCACAUUAAGUGGUAUUAAAUUUGUGAUUUGAGAUAUUAAAGAUAACAGAUGCAAAAUUUGAGGUUGAGUCAUUCAAUGGAAAAAAUAAUUUAUUUGUGGCAAAGCACCGUGAAGGAUGUCAUCUCCUUAUACAGCAAGGAUUAAUUAAAGUAUUGAAUG